AUGACAUCGAAAAAUCUUGCGAUUGUCUCCACACUCGUGGCGACAAUCGCCUUCUCUGCAGCAUUCAACGUGCCUGGAUCAUAUGGAUCUGAUGGAAAGGCAAAUCUUGACGGGGAUCGUUUCUACAACGCCUUCUUGGUGUUGGACACCAUUGCCGUGACCACAUCUGUGGUCGCAACAAUACUGCUUAUCUAUGGGAGAGCUUCACGGACAAAUCGCAACUGGAUAGGCUUCAUUGUGUCAAUGCAUUUCCUUUGGGUGGCACUGAAUAGCAUGAUGCUAGCCUUCUUCAUGGCUAUAGCCGCCGUGGUGAGCGACAAGAACCCCAUGAAGAUUGCAUUGUCUCAGCUGAUGUACGGCGGGUUGUACAUCCUGACGACACUGCUUGCAUGCUUUGCAAUGCCCGGAUCAUUUCUAGGUGUUGUGCGGUUUUUGGUUGGCGGUUGUUCUGAACAUCUACGGCGUUCCAAAAGACGCAUAAGUCGACAGUUCCCCUUUGUUGUAUAUUAUGCCUUUAAUGUGAUUGUGUUCAUCAUUGUAAAUACAAUAGUGCUUGUAUUAAUUAGUGCCGCUGGCCGUCUCCCUAGGUAG
rnacentral:rRNA from 1 species